CCAAUAGCGUAUAUUAAAGUUGUUGCAGUUAAAAGCUCGUAGUUGAAUUUCGAGACCGGCUUACUGGUCGUGCUUUUGUGCGUACUGGUAUAAUCGGUUUCUCCUUUCUGACGAACUUUAAUGCCAUUAAUUUGGUGUUUUAGGGAAUCAGGACUGUUACUUUGAAAAAUUAGAGUGUUUAAAGCAGGCUCACGCUUGAAUACAUUAGCAUGGAAUAACGGAAUAGGACGUUUGAUUCUAUUUUGUUGGUUUCUAGGAUCGACGUAAUGAUUAAUAGGGAUAGUUGGGGGCAUUAGUAUUCAAUUGUCAGAGGUGAAAUUCUUGGAUUUAUUGAAGACUAACUACUGCGAAAGCAUUUGCCAAGGAUGUUUUCAUUAAUCAAGAACGAAAGUUAGGGGAUCGAAGACGAUCAGAUACCGUCGUAGUCUUAACCAUAAACUAUGCCGACUAGGGAUCGGAUGAUGUUAAUUUUUAAUGACUCAUUCGGCGCCUUACGGGAAA
rnacentral:rRNA from 1 species